rnacentral:rRNA from 1 species
CCUACGGGUGGCAGCAGUGAGGAAUAUUGGUCAAUGGCCGAGAGGCUGAACCAGCCAAGUCGCGUGAGGGAAGACGGCCCUACGGGUUGUAAACCUCUUUUGUCGGGGAGCAAAGCGAACCACGUGUGGUUCAUUGAGAUUACCCGAACCAAAAGCAUCGGCUAAAUCCGUGCCAGCAGCCGCGGUAAUACGGAGGAUGCGAGCGGUAUCCGGAUUUAUGUGGUUUAAAGGGUGCGCAGGCGGAGGUGCAAGUCAGCGGUCAAAUUGCGGGGCUCAACCCCGUACUGCCGUUGAAACUGCAUCCCUUGAGUGCGCGAGAAGUAUGCGGAAUGCGUGGUGUAGCGGUGAAAUGCAUAGAUAUCACGCAGAACUCCGAUUGCGAAGGCAGCAUACCGGCGCGCAACUGACGCUCAUGCACGAAAGCGUGGGUAUCGAACAGGAUUAGAUACCCGGGUAGUC